ensembl:lncRNA
CUACUAUAUUGGCAAGAACAUUGGGUCGAACGUUGUUAGUAAACGUAGGUUUCAGUCCCAGAGACCUCACAGGGCAAGUUGUGUUACCUCUCUGGGCUUCAUUUUACACAUUUCUAAAAGAAGAGUGUUGAACUUGGUCAUUUUUGUUAUGCAUUCCAGCCUCCAAAAUUCGUGUCAUUUGUCUUUGGGGGAAGAGAUGGGGAUGAGAAAAAAACUCACAACAACUACAGGAGGCAUUGAUGAAAAUCUUUCCCCCUCCCCAUAGUAGGCAGAAUAAUGGUCCUGCCAAGAUGCCCGCAUCCUAAUCCCAGAAUCUGUGAAUAUGUUGCAUGGCAAGGCGGACUUAUUGUUUCAGAUGGAAUGAAGGUUGCCAACCGGCUGACUUAAAAUAAGUAGAUUAUUCGAGUGGGCCCGUUGGAAUCUUAAGAGGCCUUUAAAAGUGGAAGAGGCAGGUGGAGGAGUUGCUGUCAGAUGACGCAGAGUCAGAAAUAGUACCCCUAUUGUGGACUUUGAACAUGGAAGGGGGCCACAAGCCGAGGAAUGCAGUCAGCUUCUAGAAACCCGACAAGGCAAGGAAACAGAUCAUCCCCCAGAGCAUCCAAAAGGAACCAGCCCUGCUAACACCUUGAUUUGAGCCCAGUGAGACCCGUUGUGGACUUCUGACCACUAGAACUGUAAGAUAAUAAAUUUGUAUUUUUUUAAGCCACCAGGCUUGUGGUAAUUUGUUACAACAGUAAUAGAAAACUAAUACACCUCCUUCCCAAUGAAAAAGAUGUUUAAUAAAAGGAAAAACUAUAAACUUUUCUGGUAAAGUAAUAUGCCAAGAAAAUAAAUCCACGUGGCAUGUAUGACCUAGCAGCAGUCACUUUAGGGACCGUCUAAAAUCAUUAUUUAUUAAAAAGAAAGCAGAAUAAAUAAGCCACUUAUAUACUUUAUGAAGCACUCACUUUCAUCUUUCUGGUCUCAGAAGAUGUAUUUGUUGGAGCAUAAUAAAUUAUUACAGUGUAGCAUUACUGACAUAUAUUUUGUUGUUGUUGUCUAGCAGUUUUGAAAAUGAUUCCUACUAAUAACCAAUCCUGGCUGUGGAGACAAGUGACUCAGGAACUCUAAAGAGUCAUGUCUCUCAGCCAAGAGGGGUGAUAUCCAUAAUCGAAGAAGCAGAUGUCCAGGCUGCCAAGUUGUGAGUAGAAUUUCUAGAGAGAAAAGGACAUUGCUACUUACUAUUGCCAGCCCUAAGAGUGUGUGAUUUUAAGAGAUGGUAGCAAGUUUUACGGGGAUGCUCAUGGUGGCUAAGUCUCAUGGUGGGUAUUUCCCUGUGUCUAAUUCAUUGAUUUUUCUCCCCAAGCUGUUUCCUUCAUGGUUUCUAUAACACAUACAGUUUCUGCUGAAGUAGAAACAUCCAGAAAGGCAAGGCCACAAUUCUGUGAGUCUUGGUAAGUGAACAGUGUGCUGUAACCACCAUUACAAUCAGGAUAUAGGACAUUUCCAUCCCCCCAAAGUUUCCCCCAUGGCCUUCGUGGCCAUCCACUCCUGCACCUUCAGCUUCUAGCAGCCAUUUUGUUUUAUCUAGAACAUCAUACCAAUGGAAUCAUAGAGUAUGCAUAUAACCUUUUGGAUGUGGUAUCUUUCAUUAACAUAGAGCAUGUAAACUUCACCCACUUUGUGGUGUGUAUCAGUAAUCGGUUCCUUCUUUAUUGCUGAUUAUCUUCCAUUAUAUUAGCAUAUCACAGUUUGCUUACCCAUUCUGAGGGACAUUUGGGUUGUUUUCAGGUUUUGGCUGUUACAAAUAAAACAUUCAUGUACAGGAUUUUGUGUGAACAGAGGUUUCAUUUCACUUGGGUAAAUAUCAAGGAGCGAGGUUGCCGGGUUGUGUGGGAAGGAAUUUUUAACUUUAUAAGAAAUUGUCAAAGUUUUCCAAAGUGAUUGUUCCAUUUUGCCUUCCCAUCAGAGUUCUAGAUUUUUUAAAAAAAAUUUAUCCAUCCUAAUAGUGCCAUGGAUUAAUUUUGCC